AUUGAACGCUGGCGGCAUGCCUUACACAUGCAAGUCGAACGGCAGCACGGGAGCAAUCCUGGUGGCGAGUGGCGAACGGGUGAGUAAUAUAUCGGAACGUGCCCAGUCGUGGGGGAUAACGUAGCGAAAGCUACGCUAAUACCGCAUACGAUCUACGGAUGAGAGCGGGGGACUCGCAAGGGCCUCGCGCGAUUGGAGCGGCCGAUAUCAGAUUAGGUUGUUGGUGAGGUAAAAGCUCACCAAGCCUGCGAUCUGUAGCUGGUCUGAGAGGACGACCAGCCACACUGGGAACUGUGACACGGUCCAGACUCCUACGGGAGGCAGCAGUGGGGAAUUUUUGGGACAAUGGACGCAAGUCUGAUCCAGCAAUGCCGCGUGCA
rnacentral:rRNA from 1 species